AGUCGUAUAUCACCGAUUCACCCCUAAUUGAAUAAUUCCCUUUUUUUUUUCGUGCUUCUCACUAUUCAACCAAUUCCACUGAAAUUUUCCCUGUUCCUCACAUAGACAAUCUGGUAAACAUAUACAAAUAUAUGGAAGUUGCAUCAGGGGUUACUCUCUAUCUCUCAAAGUGGAACCUCGAGCAAAUUAGCAGGUAGUUAAGUAUCUUUGUCCAGAUAUAUAUAGGAUUUCAAUUAGCAGUUGUGAAAUCAUUGCCCACUCGGGCCUUAUUUUUUAAACCUCGGUUAUUGUUGGGACUGAAUUUGUUUGAAGAUUUUAGCUUAUCAUGUUUCAUUAGCUCUUUUUUUUUUUUUUUUUUUUUUUUUUUUUUUUUUUUUUUUUUUUAACUUGCAUGGCUUAAUUGAUUUAUUGAUCCCUUGAUUGAGCUGCUCAUAAACUUUACACGAGUGGCAUCAUUAUUGUUGUGUGAUAUGGAGUUAUAUUUUUUUCUUGUAGUAGUGAUAAAUUGAUAAUAUGAAGUAGAAUUUAAGGCAUGAAUUGAAUAAGUAGUCACUUGAUUCUAAAUUGACUCCCUGAUUUAAUUACUUGGCUUAUUGAGUAACCUUGUGUUUAUGAUCUUGUUUUUUUAUCACUUGUUUAACUGUUUUGCUACUUAAUAAGCCCAUGAGUUUAUUGUUAGUAUAAAUAAAUGUCUAAUUUCAUUCAAGGUCUAGAGAGUAAAGAGUUGAUACAAUAAUGAAAUAAAACAUAAUAGAUUCAUAGGUUGUGUUGAACUAGUGAACUACUGGUCAUCUACACAUUUCCUGAUCCUUUUGAGUUGAAGUUAUAACUGUUGUCUUUCUAUCUAUUUCUGCGUUUUACUGUUCCUUUUCAUUUGUUUUUAAGUUAUUUCUUCCAACUUUCCAACAGAACCCUUUUUCAAAGCUUGCUGCCUAGAAACAAUUAGUUGAGUUGAAUAAAAUUAAAAUUGUAUCAAAUACUCAUAUUCUGUGCGUGUGUGUGUGACUGUGUGCGUAAAUGGAUGAUUAGCUAGAUAUCUCCUAUUUCCAAGACAAGGGCACAACAUCUUUGACUAAGAACUCCAGCUUGAACUGCAAUAAUAUGUACUCAGUUAAUAAGCGUACAACUCAGUUGAGUUGUCUUAGGAGGGUCAACAAAUCUGAAUUCAUGAAUCCAUUCUUUUGUUAUUUGUAGACAGAUUGGCUGCAACAUUUUAUAUGUGAUGAUGGUGUAUUGCUAGAGCAUGCUUCCAAUAGUCAAUUUCAUAACUGAAUGCAGAAUUGAAAGUCAGAACUGAAAUCAAAGCUGAAUUUCAGAACUGAAGCUCUAGGAAAGUUUGGAAAUUCUUCUCUGUUGCUUAGUCAACACUCAAUAUUUAUAUCUUUUAUCAGCACAAUUGGAAUUGUUGUUUAUUUGUUCGAAAUAUUAGAUGUGCUAUGAUAAUGCCCUGUUGCAGAUUUUUUAAAGACUACUAAGAUUCACCACACAAGGUGUGCGAUAACUGUUCUAAGUUAAUUUUGUUGACACUGCUUUAUAUCUAUCUGGCCUGGACUUGAGGCUAACACAUAGCAUUCUGAAGUUAUACAAACUGCAUUAUGUCACAAAAUUUCAUAUGUAGCAUGUAAAAUCCAAUCUGGAGAUUAGCUCAUUAAUUAGGAAUAUAGACUGUAAGGCUGGUUCAUCUUUGCUUAGUCUUAUAACAGACUUAAUGCGAUAGGUGUAUGCAUGAGAAAUGAGACUAUUAGAUGACUGCAAAAUCAAUUCAGAAUAGACAACGCAAAAUGCAACUCACGUGGUGCAGAGCUCCCUCAAAGUCGUCACACAUUUAUUGGUGCAGGCUCAUUUUUUGCUUCCAAUGAUUGUAGGCUCAUUUGAUUUUUGCGAUGGUUCGGGCUUAGAUAUUACUUGUAAUGAUGCAGGCUCAUCAAGUAUGCAAUUUAUAAAGCUCGCUAAUCUUGGAUAUUUCUACAACUAUAAGUGGGCGAAACAUUGACUACCUGCUAGUUCAGGCACCUCUGCAGGCACUUCUGCACCCAGGCACCUAAGAAAUUGAAAUUUGAGCUACUUCAGAAUUCUGUUGCAAUAUCAAGUGCUUAGUGUGAACUGCUGCUACCCCGUACAGAACAAUCAAAUUUGUGAAGCAGACAAAGACAAAAUCGACAAAAUUGUUAAAAUUUGAAGGUUGACCAUUGUAUCAAUUAACUAACUAGCUUUUUUAAUUAUAAAGUAUUAUUUAUUGUGAAUUGUGAGAGAAAUAUUUGUAAUUUACAAGUACAUCAAGUCAAUAUUAUUUACAAGAUGUCGCUUAAA